CUUACACAUGCAAGUCGAACGGUGAAGCCCUUGGCUUUUGUUGGGGGUGGAUGAGUGGCGAACGGGUGAGUAACACGUGAGUAACCUGCCCCUUUCUUCUGGAUACCGCCACGAAAGUGGUGUUAAUACGGGAUAUUCUGGCUCUGUCGCAUGGUGGGGUUGGGAAAGGUCUUUUCUGGUGGGGGAUGGGCUCGCGGCCUAUCAGCUUGUUGGUGGGGUGAUGGCCUACCAAGGCGUUGACGGGUAGCCGGCCUGAGAGGGUGGACGGCCACACUGGGACUGAGACACGGCCCAGACUCCUACGGGAGGCAGCAGUGGGGAAUAUUGCACAAUGGGCGGAAGCCUGAUGCAGCGACGCCGCGUGAGGGAUGGAGGCCUUCGGGUUGUGAACCUCUUCCGCCAGUGAAGCAGGCCCGCCCCUUGUGGGUGGGUUGACGGUAGCUGGAUAAGAAGCGCCGGCUAACUACGUGCCAGCAGCCGCGGUAAUACGUAGGGCGCGAGCGUUGUCCGGAAUUAUUGGGCGUAAAGGGCUUGUAGGCGGCUGGUCGCGUCUGCCGUGAAAUCCCCUGGCUUAACUGGGGGCGUGCGGUGGGUACGGGCCGGCUUGAGUGCGGUAGGGGAGACUGGAAUUCCUGGUGUAGCGGUGGAAUGCGCAGAUAUCAGGAGGAACACCGGUGGCGAAGGCGGGUCUCUGGGCCGUUACUGACGCUGAGGAGCGAAAGCGUGGGGAGCGAACAGGAUUAGAUACCCUGGUAGUCCACGCCGUAAACGUUGGGCACUAGGUGUGGGGGGCCUUUCCGGGUCCUCCGCGCCGCAGCUAACGCAUUAAGUGCCCCGCCUGGGGAGUACGGCCGCAAGGCUAAAACUCAAGGAAUUGACGGGGGCCCCGCACAACGGCGGAGCAUGCGGAUUAAUUCCAUGCAACGCGAAAAACCUUACCAAGC
rnacentral:rRNA from 1 species